GGUCUGGCUGUGUGGUCUGCCUUAGUGUAAGUACUGCAUCAGCUGGGCCUCUCCUUCUGGAGAGCCGGUAUGCCCUUUAUUGGGUGUGCCGAGGAUCCAGAACCUUUACCUUGAAAAAAUUAGAGUGUUCAAAGCAGGCAUUUGCUCGAAUACAUUAGCAUGGAAUAAUAGAAUAGGACC
rnacentral:rRNA from 1 species